CUGUUGCCGUACCUCUCGAACUAGAGAGAAUUUUAGCUUAUGUAAUCUUUGGGCCGUACUAAGUCGUGAUCUCGUUAAAGUAAAAUUCUAAGGAGUAAAAACUAAAAAGAGUUCUGUGCACAGACUAAUAUGAUGCUUACGCAUGGUUCUGUGGGUCGUGACUCGUGAUGAACGUACGUGGGGUAUAUAAUAUGCACUGCGACCACUGUAUAGUGUGACGAAUACAUUUAGUAUACUGUGAAGCCGUUCCUUUAAAGUUAGUUAUACUGGUUACUAUAUAAAACGGAACACAAUCCCGUAUAGGCGAAUACAGUCAGCCGCAUUUUUUGACGCAGCAUUCAAAUGAGUGUAUUAAAGUUUUCUAGUUCUAUAAAAAAACUUUUGUUAGAGUAGUGUCAAAUAAAAAAAAUAUAUUAAUUGUAUGUAAAUUGUAUUUAUAAUAUAAUAAAAUGGAAGCGGGCGGGAUGAAGAAUCACAUAAAAUUUUGGAGUUACUGAUUUCACUAGCCAGCACAAGUCUGUCAAUCAAAAAUGUUUGGCAGUCGAAAAUAAGGUGGUCCAUAGUUCCUUCAUUUGAAUUGCAAUGUGGCAAAAUUUUAUUCUCAACAAUACCCAAUCUUGCAAGGUGUGACGGUGCAGUAUUAUGUCCAAAACGCAAUCUAUUUAUUGUGGUAAUAAAAUCUCGGUUGCCAUCCUUCAAUUGAUUGUACCAGGGUCUGACAGUUCAGAUAUUAAACUGACAAAACUAUCUGCACAACAAUGCCCUCUACGAAAUCCGUAUUGAAAUUGUGGGAUAAUAUAAUUGGAUUCAACAUACCAGUCGAGACGAACUUUAAUCAUAUUUUCAAAUACCAAGACAAGAAGAUAAGGAUAUUGGUCUGUAAGAACUGGCAAGCUCCGGAGAUUUGUCAGGCUUGAGUAUGGGGAUAACACAUUGAGUUUUCCAUGACUGUGGAAUAAUUUUCUUGUACCAAAGUAGAUUUAGGAUAUUAAGGAAAACCUUUUGAGCAGAUUCAUCUAAGUUUUUAAUAAUCAUGUAAGGAUAAUCAUCGAGACCUGGAGUUGUGUUUUGUCUAGAUUGUAAACUCUUUGUAAAUUCAUUCCAUGUAAAUGAAUUAAGUAAAAAUUUUGAAUUUUUA